rnacentral:rRNA from 1 species
GACAGAGGAUGCAAGCGUUAUCCGGAAUGAUUGGGCGUAAAGCGUCUGUAGGUGGCUUUUUAAGUCUGCCGUCAAAUCCCAGGGCUUAACCCUGGACAGGCGGUGGAAACUACCAAGCUGGAGUACGGUAGGGGCAGGGGGAAUUCCCGGUGUAGCGGUGAAAUGCGCAGAUAUCGGGAGGAACACCGGUGGCGAAGGCGGUUCUCUGGGCCUGUACUGACGCUGAGGAGCGAAAGCGUGGGGAGCGAACAGG